AGUGUCAAGGGAUGGGAAUCGAACCUACGACCUUCCGCUUACCGGGCAGAUGCCAUGACCACUAGGCCACAUGACC